UACAGAGGGUGCAAGCGUUAAUCGGAAUUACUGGGCGUAAAGCGUGCGCAGGCGGUGAUGUAAGACAGUUGUGAAAUCCCCGGGCUCAACCUGGGAACUGCAUCUGUGACUGCAUGGCUAGAGUACGGUAGAGGGGGAUGGAAUUCCGCGUGUAGCAGUGAAAUGCGUAGAUAUGCGGAGGAACACCGAUGGCGAAGGCAAUCCCCUGGACCUGUACUGACGCUCAUGCACGAAAGCGUGGGGAGCAAACAGGAUU
rnacentral:rRNA from 1 species